rnacentral:rRNA from 1 species
AGAGUUUGAUCCUGGCUCAGGAUGAACGCUGGCGGCGUGCCUAAUACAUGCAAGUCGAACGCUUUGUGGUCCAACUGAUUUGAAGAGCUUGCUCAGAUAUGACGAUGGACAUUGCAAAGAGUGGCGAACGGGUGAGUAACACGUGGGAAACCUACCUCUUAGCAGGGGAUAACACUUGGAAACAAGUGCUAAUACCGUAUAACACUAAUAACCGCAUGGUUAUUAGUUAAAAGAUGGUCUUGCUAUCACUAAGAGAUGGUCCCGCGGUGUAUUAGCUAGUUGGUAAGGUAAUGGCUUACCAAGGCAAUGAUACAUAGCCGAGUUGAGAGACUGAUCGGCCACAAUGGGACUGAGACACGGCCCAUACUCCUACGGGAGGCAGCAGUAGGGAAUCUUCCACAAUGGACGAAAGUCUGAUGGAGCAACGCCGCGUGUGUGAUGAAGGGUUUCGGCUCGUAAAACACUGUUGUAAGAGAAGAAUGACACUGAGAGUAACUGUUCAGUGUGUGACGGUAUCUUACCAGAAAGGAACGGCUAAAUACGUGCCAGCAGCCGCGGUAAUACGUAUGUUCCAAGCGUUAUCCGGAUUUAUUGGGCGUAAAGCGAGCGCAGACGGUUAUUUAAGUCCGAAGUGAAAGCCCACAGCUUAACUGUGGAAGUGCUUUGGAAACUGGAUAACUUGAGUGCAGUAGAGGAGAGUGGAACUCCAUGUGUAGCGGUGAAAUGCGUACAUAUAUGGAAGAACCUCCAGUGGCCGAACGCGGCUCUCUGGACUGUAACUGACCGUUGAGGCUCCGAAAGUGU